UGGGGAAUAUUGGACAAUGGGCGCAAGCCUGAUCCAGCCAUGCCGCGUGAGUGAUGAAGGCCCUAGGGUUGUAAAGCUCUUUCACCGGUGAAGAUAAUGACGGUAACCUGAGAAGAAGCCCCGGCUAACUUCGUGCCAGCAGCCGCGGUAAUACGAAGGGGGCUAGCGUUGUUCGGAUUUACUGGGCGUAAAGCGCACGUAGGCGGACUUUUAAGUCAGGGGUGAAAUCCCGGGGCUCAACCCCGGAACUGCCUUUGAUACUGGAAGUCUUGAGUAUGGUAGAGGUGAGUGGAAUUCCGAGUGUAGAGGUGAAAUUCGUAGAUAUUCGGAGGAACACCAGUGGCGAAGGCGGCUCACUGGACCAUUACUGACGCUGAGGUGCGAAAGCGUGGGGAGCAAACAGG
rnacentral:rRNA from 1 species